UACAGAGGGGGCAAGCGUUGUUCGGAAUUACUGGGCGUAAAGGGCGCGUAGGCGGCCUGUUAAGUCGAACGUGAAAGCCCCCGGCUCAACUGGGGAGGGUCACGCGAUACUGAUCGACUCGAAGGCAGGAGAGGGUAGUGGAAUUCCCGGUGUAGUGGUGAAAUGCGUAGAUAUCGGGAGGAACACCAGUGGCGAAGGCGACUACCUGGCCUGUUCUUGACGCUGAGGCGCGAAAGCUAGGGGAGCAAACGGG
rnacentral:rRNA from 1 species